AUGGAGGCGAAUGAUAACGAUUUUAGCGACAGUCCCCGCAGCCAACAACUGGACGGCGAAGAUAGGCUCAGCAUGCUGACCGAUGAUAUUUUACUGUCCAUCUUGGGGAGAGUCAGUUCACUUAUUGCUACAAGGACAAGUGUGCUCUCUACACGGUGGAGGCAUCUGCCUUGGUUGCUGCCUGAACUCAGCAUCAAUGUCGAGGAUUUCCUAUCCGCUCCGCGCGCUGACCCUAUUGAGGAAAAUGAUAUGGAGCAAGCUAUGGCCUCUUUGACCAAAGCAACCAGGAGUUUGUUGAAUAAACAACAGAGAGAAUCCACUAUCUCAAGUUUGCACCUUAACCUCUAUUUGAUCAACACUUUCCUGUGUGAAGUUGGCCCACUGAUAGGUGAUGCAAUCGACAGUGGUUUGUUGAAAGAUUUGGAUCUCAGUGUUCUUGAUGAGACAGAUGCUUUGGCCCGUACUGAGGAGGAUAUGCUGCAGCGAGCUCAAGAAAUAGAUUCUUUUUUCAGUGCUUACCCUAGUGUGCUCCACUGCCUCACAAAGCUUUUCCUAAAAAAUGUAGGCUUUGAUAAAUUGGACAUGCACCAUGUCCUGUUUGACUGCUGCAAGCAACUUCAGCAUCUAAGCCUUUUCCAUUGUGAUACUGGUUCCUACUCUCUCUUUAAGAUUGAUGCACCAGACUCAAAACUUUGUGUCCUAGAAAUUGAGAAGUGUCGCUUUGUGAGGAUUGACCUGGUCUGCCUCCCGAAAUUGGAGAAGUUCUUAUGUGAGACCUGGGUAUCUGAGUAUGCCCCAGUGACCUUUGGUUUUGUCCCAUCUCUUGGGGACUUAGAACUCUCAUGUGGUUCAAAUUGUGAUCAACGCGAAUUUAAAUUAAGUGAGCUUCUAUAUGGAGUAACAAGUAUACACACUCUCACAUUGGAUUUCCAAGGAGAAAAUCUUUGGUUGCAACCUGAAAUGGAGGAACUCCACACCGCAUUCAGCAAGCUAAGGAAGCUAUCCGUACGUGGUAUAUUUGUUGAAUUUGACAUUUCAUGGACAAUAGCCUUUCUUGUAGCAGCACCAUCUGUCGAAAUAUUGCACAUUGAGGUAUGGGAACAUGUGUGCGAUGUGGGUGAGGGCAGGCUCGCUUCCUACCUUACCAGAAGUACUCCUUGGUGGGAAAGACACUUGGACAACAGCUCCGAGAACAAGCUUCUGAAAGAGCUAGAAUUCGCUGGAUUUAAAUCACUAGAACACCAGUUUACGUUCAUAAGAUCAAUGAUGGAGCGAUGUCCCAACUUGCAGAAGAUAGUUCUGAUGGGAGACGAGCAGUGUAGUUCCUGUGACGCCCUUAUGUCGUCGCGUCCUUCGAAAUUUCCAAAUAGGAAAGAGGAGCAAGAAAUGGUGGUUAAGCGGAUUAGAGAUGGCAUGUUCUCGCCAGAGAUAUUUUUUUACGAAUAA
rnacentral:rRNA from 1 species